UCCAGAGGGCCGGUGCUCUGACAGAGAAUGCGGUCCCCCUGGAGGCCGCCAGUCAACAUUGUUUGGCCGACAGCACCCUGAGGAGGCCUGCUCUGUGGGAGCGCAUGGGACGGUGGGAGGAAGGCAGAAGAUGGUCCUGCAAGUACCCCGGGCCUAAGCCAUGUAGGGCUUUAUAGGUGAAGUUCUGUUAAUCUCUCUCUCAGUCAAGGAAGCUACUCUCGUUUUCAUCUUUGAAUGGUGCUUUGAAUUCUUCGAAUGCUCUUGUUCUUCCUUAGAAACAGGAAGGGGAUUGAUUUAGCCCCAUGAAUUAUGGACCUCCUCCUUCUGCUUCUGCUGCUGCUGAUGUCCCAUCCAGUCUCUGGGAAGCUGAGAAUGAAGUGUCUGCUAAGUUUGGAGGAACAUGAGGGAAAAAACCUACGGAACUAUUACAGGCCAGGAGAUCACCUCGUUAAUAUAAUCUCCACUGCCACAAUAAUAUCCCAAAUAAUGCUGUCUUUCAACACAGCUCCUUAUACACAAGCUCCCUCUAGUUCAUUUAUUGAUCCAGCAAGAAUCCUAAGUUUCAUUUUUGCCAUUCAACAAGUCAAUAAGAAAUCUCAGCAUUUGUACAAUCUCACACUUGGCUACAACAUCCAUGACAACUAUUUCAACACCCUGGACACUUCAGAUGCCUUGCUGGACAUGCUCUCAACUGGAGAAGCCAAUGUUCCCAACUACAGCUGUGGA